AGAACGAACGCUGGCGGCAUGCCUAAUACAUGCAAGUCGAACGAAGGCUUCGGCCUUAGUGGCGCACGGGUGCGUAACGCGUGGGAAUCUGCCCCUUGGUUCGGAAUAACAGUUGGAAACGACUGCUAAUACCGGAUGAUGACGAAAGUCCAAAGAUUUAUCGCCAAGGGAUGUGCCCGCGUAGGAUUAGCUAGUUGGUGAGGUAAAGCUCACCAAGGCGACGAUCCUUAGCUGGUCUGAGAGGAUGAUCAGCCCACACGUGGGACUGAGACACGGCCCAGACCUCCGUACGGGAGCGGCGAGUAGGGAACUAGUUGGACAAGUGGGACAAAGCCUAGACUCCAGCAAGUCGCCGCGUAGAGUGAUAGAACGGUCCGUUAGGUUAGUAAAGUCCUUACUUUACCGA
rnacentral:rRNA from 1 species